CAUGCUAACGUUCGGUAAGUUACGUUUACGUCACAUUAAAAUGAUUCAAGCGUUUCAGAAGAGGGCGCCGUAAAGCAGGUCAGACUGUGUUCAUUAUGUUUAUUUUCUUAGAUUUGAUUUGAUUUCACUGAAGUUGAGAAGGAUACACAGUUAAAUCAUUAUGCUGUUCGCUGAGAUUUCGACCCCCCUGAGUCGGUACACAGUGUUUUAUUUUGAAAAUUGACCAGAUGCACUGUGCUGUUCAGCUGCCUGACUUCCUGUCUGGGCUUGAUCGAGCGGAGCGGUUGUUUCUGGGACGGUAUGAGCCGGUAUGAACACAAACGUCGUCCAGAGCGGCACCUGGAUCUUGGUGGAGUCUAACAACGUUAACAUUAAAACGUAUCGGUGACGAGCAUAACCAAUAUUUGCCGCAUAGUCGGACUGAAGAUAGCAAACAGUGACAGCGAAACACCAUUUAGUGUUUCUACGCUUCUUGUUGGAGCUCCUCCGGGAUGCCUGCUGCUCCACGCUUCCCUUGCUGAGUUUUUCAUUAGCUUAACAGUGGAGCCAAAACAAAAUGAGUCAGACAAAGUUUGAACCCGAAGGUGUCUUUGAAGAGAGUUGUUCUUUUGAAUCCAAGCGCUCUUCACACGCCUCCCACGCCUCUUCGCUCACCUGCCGAGAGCUCCGAACAGGAGCAUCGAGGUUGGCAGAUGUGACGUCCAGAUGUUUUCAUUUGGUUUCAUUCCUCGGUAACAACGUCGUCAUUCCCUCUGCGGGAACAUCUGAGAAACUCGGGAGGAGUUUGUUUAUAACAGAGCAGAGACUCAAGAAAUAGAAGCUAGUUGCCUUCAGGUAAAUAUGGAUCAGAAAUACAGAUUUGUCCGUCACAUUCUGACACUCCUGCUUCAGUGAAUCCGUCUUCAUCGUGCUUUACAUUAUAGUUAACUGAAUUCUUUAAACAUUCAUAAUUUCUCUCAGUUCAUUUUGUGUUUGCCGUCGAUUAUCCUGCACUUUAGUCAUUUAUGUAUUCUGCUGAAUCUGUCUGCAGGCCUGGAAAAUUAAUUUCUUUCUCUUUUUUUUUUUCCCAUCGAGCCUGCUCUGCUUUUUCUGAGGAACACCGAAUUUCACGGCCUCUUAGUGAACACUUAAAGGCAUCGCGCACGGAACAAGUCCUCGGUAGAUUAAUUUGAUUUUGGUGGAUGAUUAAAACCAUCUUGUGACAGAUUUUCAUAAACGUCCAGUGACAACACUUCAGAAGUUUUGAACGAUGAAUAACAAACUUUUGUUUUUGGUUUUCAGUCUUCGUCUGAAUUUACAAGUUCAUGUUGGACGCGAUCGUUUGAAGAGAUGUUGGUGGUUUUAUGUGUUUUCUCUUGACCCGUCCAAGAACUUGAACAUAUGACAAUAUUGUAGAUGUGCUGCGUGUUUUCUUCAUGUUUGGUAAAACUGGAAAUACAACAUCCAACCUGGUAGAAUUAGAGAUCAAAAUGAAACACAUCUUAAAGUGGUUGUUGAGCUGUUCACUUCUUACGUGAGAGACUUGUCAGACGUCUUUCUGAGGCAGUUGAUGUCGUUCUUCUCGUUUCAUGGAUAAUAAUAUCAGGUUGUACUCAUGCUGCUUCCUGCUGCUUGUUAUGAACGAACGAUGGAGGUGUUUUUUUUUUUUUCUUCCAUCCAGAUCUGGUGGCAGUCUGACCUGCUGACUAACAUCUGUUUCUACCCAGCGUGAGAAAUAAACCCUGAAAUCGGAACGUGUGUGUGUUUUUAAAAGGCUGAAACUAAAAAAUAACAGCAAAGCAAGAGCUCGACACAUAAAUCUCAAACUAGGCUUGAAAUAACAAAGACUGGAAAUGUAACUUGACAGUAUUAACAGGCCAUUUAUCGAGCGCUCGCACUCGGCCCGGCUCUCUGCGGUUUUGACUGACGGCUGUAGAAAUGAUGGAGAAAGGAACGAGAAAACUCCCAGCGUGCCUCCUCCUCUCCCGGCGAGGGCCAAAUAAAUCAUGCAGUCACAGUAAAUGACACAAGCUUGUCAUGAACCUGACUCCUGUUGGAGACUUCGCCCACCUGUCACGUGCAUUUAAUCUGAUUUCUGUUUGUACGUUGCUCUCUAACAGCAAUGCAACAGCCGAGCGAGUCGCCACCGAGGGAGGCGGCAACAAUAAUGCCUCCCUCCGGGUUCUGCUGUCACAGUAUCGCCUCCCGUCGAGCCGGUGCUGUUUUUACACCUGCUUAAAAUUCAAAAACAUUCUGUCUUGACAAACCGGACGCUUUUAUCCAGGUGUUAAUACAAUUCUGAUCAAUUUCUGGGUUUUGUUUUUGUUACUGGAGGAGGUCACGUCCUCACCUGCAAUUUCUAUUGUUCUUUUAAAAGUGACGCAGUGUUUAAAAGUUUGGUCGACAUUCAGUCCCACUCACAAAAACUACAAUUGUAUGAGUUAUAUUGUUGUUUUUUCCUUGUUAAUAUCUUUAAUUUCAGGAGUAAGUGUCGACUCAAAAGUCCCGUGCAGGUGAA